CGACCACGUGUAAGCCCAAAAGAAAAGAAAAGUAACCCAAAUAAGUGCCACAAAGACAAACCGAAAAGAAAUAAAACGGAACGGGGAAAAUCCCACACGGUAAGCGCGGCGCAAAAAUCGGGCGAAAAUUAAUAACCGUGCGCCGAGAAAACUGGCAAGAAACUACCCUGGCGAAAAGUGCAUAUUUGCCUCGCCUCGCCAGCAAGUGUUGUUCUUGUUGCAAACCCGUGCGUCCCGCAGCUCUGCCAGGAGAACCCAACGCUCGUGUCUCCGUGGAAAAGUCCGAAAAACUGGGCCCUGGCCCCGAGCGGUAGCCACCCGGCUCUCCCAAAGUUCUGCCCCACUCACACCAAACUCCCACCCUUGACGGGAGUACUCUUCGGAGUCGACCUUGGUGUGGGGCCGAGAUUUUUUUUUCCCUUUUGGAGUCGUUGAAGCAUCCACCUGCCCGGCGACAUAACCUCCACCGGCCAUAACCCUUGCGCAAUAUCUAACGUACGCGCAUAGAGGGCAUAGAGGGCAUAAAGACUAAAUAUAAACUUAAUCAUAAAGUAACAGACUACAAAAAAAAA